CGCGCUGAACUUAAGCAUAUCAAUAAGCGGAGGAAAAGAAACUAUACAAGGAUUCCCCUAGUAACUGCGAGUGAAGCGGGAAAAGCUCAAAUUUAAAAUCUGGUGGCCUUUGGCCAUCCGAGUUGUAAUUUAGAGAAGCGUCUUCCGCGCUGGACCGUGCACAAGUCUCCUGGAAUGGAGCGUCGUAGAGGGUGAGAAUCCCGUCUCUGGCACGGACGCCCAGUGCUUCUGUGAUGCGCUCUCGAAGAGUCGAGUUGUUUGGGAAUGCAGCUCAAAAUGGGUGGUGAACUCCAUCUAACGCUAAAUAUUGGCGAGAGACCGAUAGCGAACAAGUACCGUGAGGGAAAGAUGAAAAGCACUUUGGAAAGAGAGUGAAACAGUACGUGAAAUUGUUGAAAGGGAAACGCUUGAAGUCAGUCGCGUCGUCCGAGACUCAGCCUCGCCUCGGCUUGGUGUACUUCUCGGACGACGGGUCAGCAUCAAUUUUGCCCCUUGGAUAAUGGCGAGGGAAAUGUGACACCUUUGCGGGUGUGUUAUAGUCUCUAGUCGCAUGCAAGGGUCGGGAUUGAGGAACUCAGCACGCGCCUUCUUUCGUCUGGGUUCGCCCACGAUAUGUGCUUAGGAUGUUGGCGUAAUGGCUUUAAACGACCCUUCUUGCAACACG
rnacentral:rRNA from 1 species